GACAAGAGAGAGAACAUCCUUUUUCAUUGGGAAAAAAUAAUUCCUUCAACAGAAGGCUUUUGUUAGCAGACAUGUAGUAAUAAUGGAAUGGAAGACAAAGAGCCUUCUUGCUUUCACCAUGUACUUUCUUGAAAACAACUAUAAAGAAGUGAUCCUGGGUUAA